UAUGAACGCUAGCGGCAGGCCUAAUACAUGCAAGUCGAACGGGAUCCAGAUCAAAGCUUGCUUUGGUUUGGUGAGAGUGGCGCACGGGUGCGUAACGCGUGAGCAACCUACCCUUGUCAGGGGGAUAGCCCGGCGAAAGUCGGAUUAAUACCGCAUGACAUCAUUGAGAGGCAUCUUUCGAUGAUCAAAGAUUUAUCGGACAAGGAUGGGCUCGCGUGACAUUAGCUAGUUGGUAAGGUAACGGCUUACCAAGGCUACGAUGUCUAGGGGCUCUGAGAGGAGAAUCCCCCACACUGGUACUGAGACACGGACCAGACUCCUACGGGAGGCAGCAGUAAGGAAUAUUGGUCAAUGGACGGAAGUCUGAACCAGCCAUGCCGCGUGCAGGAAGACGGCCCUAUGGGUUGUAAACUGCUUUUAUACGGGAACAAACGUCGGUACGUGUACCGGUCUGAGUGUACCGUAAGAAUAAGGAUCGGCUAACUCCGUG
rnacentral:rRNA from 1 species